GACGAACGCUGGCGGCGUGCUUAACACAUGCAAGUCGAACGGACAGGCCCUGCUUUUGUGGGGUGCUCGAGUGGCGAACGGGUGUGUAACACGUGAGUAACCUCCCCUUGACUUUCGGAUAACUUCAGGAAACUGGGGCUAAUACCGGAUAGGAGCUCCUGCUGCAUGGUGGGGGUUGGAAAGUUUCGGCGGUUGGGGAUGGAUUCGCGGCUUCUCGGCUUGUUGGUGGGGUUGUGGCUUACCAAGGCUUUGACGGGUAGCCGGCCUGGGAGGGUGGCCGGGCACAAGAGUACUAAGGGACGGACCAGACGCGUACGGUAGGCAGCGGGGGGAAAUAUGACACAAUAGGCGGAAGCGUGAUGUAGCGACGCUGGGUGCGGGAUGACGGCCUUCGGGGUGUAAACCGCUGUCGCCUGUGACGAGGCGGGAGUGACGGUAAUGAGUAAAGAAGCACCGGCUAACUACGUG
rnacentral:rRNA from 1 species